rnacentral:rRNA from 1 species
AUUGAACGCUGGCGGCAGGCCUAACACAUGCAAGUCGAGCGGAUGAAGGGAGCUUGCUCCUGGAUUCAGCGGCGGACGGGUGAGUAAUGCCUAGGAAUCUGCCUGGUAGUGGGGGAUAACGUCCGCAAACGGGCGCUAAUACCGCAUACGUCCUGAGGGAGAAAGUGGGGGAGCUUCGGACCUCACGCUAUCAGAUGAGCCUAGGUCGGAUUAGCUAGUUGGUGGGGUAAAGGCCUACCAAGGCGACGAUCCGCAACUGGUCUGACAGGAUGAUAAGUCACACUGGAGGUGAGACGCGGUCAAGACUCCUACGGGAGGCAGCAGUGGGGAAUAUUGGACAAUGGGCGAAAGCAUUAUCCAGCCAGGCCGCGUGUGUGAAGAAGGUCUUCGGAUUGUAAAGAACUUUAAGUUGGGAGGAAGGGCAGUAAGUUAAUACGUUGCUGUUUUGACGUUACCAACAGAAUAAGCACCGGCUAACUUCGUG